GAUAACCCAAUUUUAUUAUCAGCGAUAAAGUAUCGCGAUAACUUACCGCGAUAACGCCCAGCUAUGAGAUUAUGUUAGGUAAGGUUAGAUUAGGUUAGGUAAGGUUAGAUUAGGUUAGGGAAGGUUAGGUAAGGUUAGAUUAGGUUAGGGAAGGUUAGGUAAGGUUAGAUUAGGUUAGGGAAGGUUAGGUAAGGUUAGAUUAGGUUAGGGAAGGUUAGGUAAGGUUAGAUUAGGUUAGGGAAGGUUAGGUAAGGUUAGAUUAGGUGAGGUAAGGAAAACCGAGGUUUGACUGUAUUUUUAUUUUAUUUUAUUUUCUCUUUUUUUGUGUGUAUUUCUCUUUCCUCUCUCUCUCUCUCUCUCUCUCUCUCUCUCU